UACCUGGUUGAUCCUGCCAGUAGUCGUAUGCUUGUCUC
rnacentral:rRNA from 1 species